rnacentral:misc_RNA from 1 species
UCCGGUUUGUCACCUGUGCAGGAUCUCCGAAGAGGGGCUCUCGUUUCUGAGAGCUUGCUCGUGCAUGUCAAGCCUAGGUAAGGUUCUUCGCGUUGCGUCGAAUUAAACCACAUGCUCCACCGCUUGUGCGGGCCCCCGUCAAUUCCUUUGAGUUUCAACCUUGCGGUCGUACUCCCCAGGCGGGGUACUUCCUGCGUUAGCGCCGGCACCCAGAGGGUCGCUCCCCCAGGCACCUAGUACCCAUCGUUUACGGCGUGGACUAC